rnacentral:rRNA from 1 species
AGAGUUUGAUCAUGGCUCAGGACAAACGCUGGCGGCGUGCCUAACACAUGCAAGUCAAACGAGAAACACGGAGCUUGCUCCGUGCAGUAAAGUGGCGAAUGGGUGAGUAACACGUAGGUAAUCUACCUCAGGGAUGGGGAUAACUUCUCGAAAGGGGAGCUAAUACACAAUAAUGCAGCGGGCUCUUCGGAGCAUGUUGUUAAAGCUGGGGAUCCUUCGGGACCUAGCACCUUGAGAUGAGCCUGCGCCUGAUUAGUUUGUUGGUAAGGUAAUGGCUUACCAAGACUACGAUCAGUAGCUGGUCUGAGAGGAUGUCCAGCCACACUGGGAUUGAGAUACGGCCCAGACUCCUAAGGGAGGCAGCAGUGAGGAAUUUUGCGCAAUGAUCGAAAGAUUGACGCAGCAACGCCGCGUGACCGAUGAUGACUCCGAGGAGUGUAAAGGUCUGUUGGGAGGGAAGAAAACCCCCUACGAAUAGUAAAGGGUAUUGACGGUACCUUCCAUAGAAAGCUCCGGCUAACUUCGUGCCAGCAGCCGCGGUAAUACGAGGGGAGCAAGCGUUGUCCGGAUUUAUUGGGCGUAAAGGGCGUGUAGGCGGAUUGACAAGUCAGGUUUUAAAUAAUACGGCUCAACUGUAUCAAUGGGUCUGAUACUGUCAGUCUUGAAUUCGAGAGAGGGAAGCGGAAUUCCUGGUGUAGCGGUGAAAUGCCAUGAUAUCAGGAGGAACACCGGUGGCGAAGGCGGCUUCCUGGCUCGACAUUGACGCUGAGGCGCGAAAGCGUGGGUAGCGAACAGGAUUAGAUACCCUGGUAGU